ensembl:snoRNA
AUGCAUCUGUUUGACAGGCCUGAAGCAGUUACUGUCUGCCAAGGUUUCCACUACAAAUUCAAGAAAAAAGCACCCUUGUGCUUUCUGUCUGUGGCAGCCCAGACUGAAUGCAGGAAUACAGCA